UACAGAGGGUGCAAGCGUUAAUCGGAAUUACUGGGCGUAAAGCGCGCGUAGGUGGUUUGUUGAGUUGAAUGUGAAAUCCCCGGGCUCAACCUGGGAACUGCAUGCAAAACUGGCAAGCUAGAGUAUGGCAGAGGGUGGUGGAAUUUCCUGUGUAGCGGUGAAAUGCGUAGAUAUAGGAAGGAGCACCAGUGGCGAAGGCGACCACCUGGACUGAUACUGACACUGAGGUGCGCAAGCGUGGGGAGCAAACAGG
rnacentral:rRNA from 1 species